CAGUCAAGAGAGCUUACCUGAAAGAGCUCCCAGGGCUUUUCCGGGUUGCCCCCGCCCGCCUGUCGCCUGCCGUUAGAGGCCGAGGAAGUGCGCUGGGGAUUCCGCAUCUGCCUCCUGAACCCCAGGGUCCUCUCGAGACCCAGGAGAUAUGGAGCUCUUUGAUAUUUAUUGAACAAGAGAUGAAGACCUGGAUCAAUAGUUUACAUUGCACUAGAGGAAGAACACGUGUGAAAAAGACAAUAAAACAGGGCAUACCCGUGGCUUCAUGAAUCUUCACCUUGAUGACGGAGACCUGUGGGACCGAGAGGUUGUUCAGCCCCUUGCUAAGGUCAGCUGAAGAAAGCUGCACCCCCUGACUCCUUGGAUCCCCUGCACCAGAUGCCAC